UUAUGAUGCUAUUCAAUUUCAUUCUAUAUAUAAGUGUGUCUAUGCAUUAAAAUUAUUCAAACUCACCAAUCCGCAUUGCUCCAUUUUUACAGUUUGUAGAAUUCAAAGUUUUUCAUACUCCAUUUUUACAGUUUGUAGAAUUCAAAGUUCUUGAUUCUUUAUUUUUUGGUCGAAAACUUUUUUCUUAUUAAGGUGUAGAAGAUGGAUUCAACGAAUGACUAUGUUUCAAAGAGUGAUCCUAAUGUUGUUAUCAUUGAGAAGGAGGAGGGAGACAAAAUGAUAUGAUAAUUUUUAUCAUUGAGAAGAAGGUGGCUCAACUCCUAUGUCAUCUGCAGACUUAGAGAACUCAAGAGAGGCACGAAAGAAAAUAUAUUACAAAAUUGUCAUCAUUCUUGGAUGUUGAAAACAAUUUUUGACUCUUCUGCAACUCGGGAUUCUCCUAUUUAUGGAGAUGGAACUAUGUCGGAUUUAGUUCUCCUAAGUGUCAGAGCGAUAUGUAUCAUCACUAAUGUGGAUGAUUUGAGUUCAUGUGGAUCAACAUAGCAGGAGAGAUAAAUCUUAAGAGGCUGAAAAAACCCUCAUAUGAGAGUAAGAGAGGAUGCAUUAUCUGACACCCACCUGGAAUCGGAUAAACGCACUCACUAUUGUGUUUCUUCAGUCGUUUUUGAAGAUAUUUAAAGUGUCAGCUUGUUA